ensembl:lncRNA
AUAUAUUAAUCCCAAACUUCGAAAUUAUCUCUCCCCUCUAUGGACAAAUAUUUUUUGAUGCCUGCCAUUCAAAGGCCAAUGCUAAGUAAUGAAUUAAAUAACAUGUCCGUGUCUUUUUAGGUUUUGUGUAGGACCUUAAUAAAUGUGGGCUAGAUUUGGCAUAUGGUCCAAAUUAGCUCAUAACCCUAGAGGAAUGGGCAUGAUGAGAGAUGAGGCUUGGGAGGGUGGCCUGGUUUAGGGAGUCUCUGGAUGCUCUGUGAGCCUGACCUUGGCCGUGUGAAUGAGAGUGCUGUGUCCAUGUCAUAUGCUUUUGAAUGCAGGAAGGUGAUGUGUUUAAGUCUGAAAUGCCACACGGCUAAAGAGGCGAUUGAGAACGUAGGUCUGGAGUCUCGGGUAGGAGGGCAGGCUCCUAUUUGGAAGGGGCGCAUAGAGAGGCAAAGGAGGGAAAGAGCUGAGGGCGGAACCUUCAGAAUCCAUUAGCUGCUGGAAAAAAACAAGCAGUUGAAGGGUCUGAGUGAAGAAGGUACGUCACAGUGGCUUGGAAGUCAGAGUGGUGGUAGCAGGAAACAAACAGGAAAUAAUCACAGAGGAAGGAGAGGGGGGUGUGGGAGAGCCUUCCUCUGAUUGUUCAAGAACCUUGACCUGGAAAGAAAAAGGGUCUAGCUGCCUGAUGAUAGCCUGGACUAGAAUUUGGCUCCUUAAUUCACUGCUGUCCUGAUGUAAUUGAGACUAAAGGCUGGGCCUGCUGCAGGGGGUUGGGGUCUUGAAGGGAGUCAGAUGGGCCUUUCAUCAAGAGUAUCCAUGUGGCCAGUAUGCAAGUUUCCCUGGCCAGGUAAAAGACUGGGAGGUGCUGAAGUGGUGUCGAAGAGGGGCUGAAGGCAUGGGACUGCGUGUCUGCCCACCCCUGCAGCCAGCCCACGGUGGACUGGGAAGAAGAUGGGGCGGGGAUGGGAGAGCAGUUUUAACUGGAACUUUUGGUCAGCUUACCCCAGGCUGUCUCAGUCAACUUCCCUCAGCGUCCUGGCUGGAGUUCUGUGAAUCCCAUUAGAGAUGGUUUGAUAUGCCUUCUUGGGAGACUGGUAUCGGCAGGGAGUCCUAGUUCCUUGGUACGAACAAUUUAAUCCAGCUCAUCCAGUCAAGAUGGCACUGUAAAUGUAUACUCUAAACACACAGCAGUGAUACGUAAAAAAGACAAAAUGCUGAAAACAUAGCCAUGUACUCCCCCUCCCUCCCACAUAAAAUGAUAAACAUCCCUGUAAUGAGAAGUGGAGUGAGAACACACAGGGGAGAGCAGGGCAGAAGCUGCAGCCCUGCUGGUCUCUGAGUCUGGAUGUAGGCAGAAGCGACUGGAAAUCUGGGGUCACAGCUCUGAAGUGCUCAACACAAAGCAUGGAAUUAGAGCUGGGCACACUGCUGGAACCCGGGGCCUGGGAAACUGGUGGUGUCACCCGUUUCCUGGGGCUGUGGCUUAUCAUGAAGAUGCUUACCUAGGCACACCCAGGGUCAGCCGGAUCCAAGCUGAGCUAGUGCUGCAAGAUGUAAUUCUAGAUGAGGAGAUCCAAAGGACCUGGGGAGGCAAAGGUGAAAACCCCUAGAUGGUGGAGGGAUGAGCUUGUAUACUCAGAAACGUGAGGAGGGAAUUCCCUGGUGGUCCAGUGGUCAGGAGUCUGUGCUUCCACUGCAGGAGACACAGGUUCAAUCCCUAUUCAGGGAUUAAGAUCCUGCAUGCGGUGCAGCCAAAAUAAUUAAAUAAAUAAAAACUUUAAAACAUCACAAAGAUGGUGGCCAUGUUUGGGUCAGCCUCUAAAAGAAAAGUGAGGAAAACUAAUAAGAAAAAAGAAUGGAAACAAAGAAAAAUUUACCCUAGAAAUGAAAAUAACAGAGUAAUCAGAAAAUAUCUUCAAUAGAAAUAAGUUAAGGAUCAUCAAAGAGAUUAGGGCAACAAGAAACUCAUUAAAGAAAAAAGGGGGAGUCAUAAAACAAUAGGUGAAUAUGAAAAUUUUAAAAAUUCUAGCAUUGAAAAAUAGUGUAAUUAGAACUUGAGAAGAUGGAGAACUAUAGCCUGGACACAUAGAAAUCAUGAAUUGGACACUCAUGCUGAGGAAUUAAUUUAGAAUGCAGGAUAGACAUGGAGAACAGAGUGACAGGCUUUAGUACAAGUCUAGUAGGAAUUCCAGAUACGAAUCAAGGAAAUGGCAGAAAAACAUUUGAAGGGGUAAUGACUGAGAAUUCCAAAACUGAAGUAACUGCAUGAAUACCAAACAGAAUGCUGCUGCUGCUGCUAAGUUGCUUUAGUCAUGUCCGACUCUGCGACUGCAUAGACGGCAGCCCACCAGGCUCCCCUGUCCACGAGACUCUCCAGGCAAGAACGCUGGAGUGGGUUGCCAUUUCCUUCUCCAAGGCAUGCAUGCUAAGUCGCUUCAGUUGUGUCUGACUCUGUGCAACCCCAUGGACAGCAGCCCACCAGGCUCCCCUGUCCACGGGACUCUCCAGGCAAGAACACUGGAGUGGGUUGCCAUUUCCUUCUCUAACCAAACAGAAUAAAUACCUAGAUAUAAUACAGUGAAACUGCAGAUAAGAAUAAAGGGAGUAACUUAUUACCCUUCCCACAAAAAAGAAUAAAAGGGAAACAUGGGAACUCACUGGCGGUCCUGUGUUAGGAUCUGCAUGUCCACUGUGGGCGACUCCCACUGUGGGUUCCCUCCCUGGUUGGGCAACUUAAGACCCUGCAAGCCACGUGGUGCAGCCAAAAGGACAAAGGGAAGAUAUUAAAAGCCACAAGGUGGGGGGACUACCGGAGAAAUAAAAGAAUUCAAAGAGAUGACAGUUAGACACACAGACAACAUUUCACCAACAGUAAAUGCCAGAGGUGGCAGAAGACUGUCUUAAGGAAGCUAGAAUCCUAUAUUCAGCUCAUUCGAGAGCGAGGUGAAAUAAAGAUAUUUCUGGACCUGCUGAGACAGUUUUUAAGAAUUUAUUUUUUAAUUGAAGGAUAAUUGCUUUACAGAAUUUUGUCGUUUUCUGUCAAACCUCAACAUGAAUCAGCCAUAGGUGUACGUAUAUCCCCUCCCUUUUGAACCUCCCUCCCACCUCCCUCCGCAGCUAAGACAGUUUUAUCAGUUGUAGAUCGUGACCAGAAGAACUACCAAAGGUAUACUUUGGUAAGAAGAAAACUCGAGGAAGGAGAAGAUCGCUAGCACUAACACUGAGUGCAGAAAUUGACAGAGUAUGUUGAUAAAUUUAACUAUGGAAUGUAUAUUGAGAUAAUUCAGUCACCCACAGUGACUCCAGAAAAUAUUGACUAAGCUUAUGAUGAGCAGUGUGGAGUUAGGGAGUUCCAGGGUUGGGGCAGUGGUCUAAUACUGAUAAGAAAAACCCUGGGUCAUUCCAUUGUUCUGCUCUGCCAUCUUAAGGGUUUAAGAUCUUUCUCCUCAUGGCUGAGAGAUGGCUGCUACAGCUCCGGGUAGCAUAUUGUCACCCUAUAACUUCCCAAGCAGGGGGAUGCUAAGAAAAAGGAAGCUUUCUAAUGUGCCUCUUUUUUGGGAAGAAGAAUCUUUCCAAGAAGGCCUCAGCAGAUACCUCCUUAUGUCUGAUUGGCCUGAGCUGGUUCAUCCCUACACCAGUUCCUGGUAAAAGGGAACAGGCUUACUGUGGUUGCCUGUCCAGGCUUGCCUUGUCUUCUGGGACUGGGUUCUUUGCCGCCUGAGCCAAAUCAGGACUGUUGGCAGGAAGGAAGUGGGAGUGGCUGCUGGUAGGCAACCAACAGUGUCGGCCACAGAUGGCAAAACACACAAACAGGGAUUCUGUGUCUAGUUUGUUUUUUUAAUUUUAAAGAAGGAAAACUAAAAUUGUUGACCACAUUAGCAAGGUAGAGUAAGAAACGGAAUACCGUUCUUAAAUCACAUCAGGUUUCUGCCUUGUUAAAUAGAACAGUACUACUGAAAACCUUAGACCUCGUUUGGAAAGUGUAUUAUGCCAGCAAUUUAAGAUAGCCACUAAAAGAGGAAAGAAGAGGGAUAUAAUUUCCAACCCAGGAGGGAAAGAAGUGGUGGGAGUAGGGAUAAUGUGUCAAUCCAACAAGGCAGGAAAAGGAAAAAGAACUGAAGGAAAACUAGUAGAGAGAAAACAAAGAGUAACAUGAGCCCAGAUGCUUCAGGGUAAAGGGUUACACUCGGGUGUUAAGCGACUACCAGACAAAAUGCAAAUAAGGAGUCGCCUGAAGCCUGGAGAGACUGGUCAGUGGGCACAGGGGCUUAACAGGAACCACCCUGGCCUUGGCCGUACAAGUGGUUCUGUUCUUUAAAUAACUUGUUUAUUCCUUGCGCUAUAUUCUGGCCUGUCCUCAAUUGUUUCUGUCUAGCUUUGCCUUGCUAUCGAGAUACUAUUGUUUUUCCAGACCGCUUCCUGCCUACUGUAGAUCCGUAUAACAAAACCCUGGACCUUGUCCUGCCACAGGACCAACAUACCACGGAGGGACUUAUUUAAGGGCAGGUGGGGUGCAGCGCCGAGACCCCAGGGCUCAGCAUCCCUCCCUUGGAGCCUGUUUCUUAGGGUGCACUGUCGAUCCUCUAGCAAUAAAGACUGAUGGUUUAUUUCUCCCGAGCUUAUUGGAAAGUUAGACAGGCUGGAAGAGCUGUGUUAGCUCUUGCUUUCUGGUUUCCUGACUGCCAACUUUGGACAGCGUCAGCAGUCCUGGAGCUGAGAUCUCAGACUGGACAUCCAGUCAGAGUGAGGUGUCCUGCAGUCAGACAGGCUCCUGAAGCAGACGCUGCCGGAGGGGUUGUAACUGGGGGGCAAGGGGCCCUGAGUCACUAGGAUAACUGAGGGGUGUAUGCCAGAGGCUGGUGCCAGUGUGUUGCAAUGGAUGAGUUCAGGCAGUCAGUCAUGCAGAGGUCAAGCCAGCAGUUCUCAGAUCAAGGACGUGGGCUCCAGUUCAGUGGGAAGGUGGGCUGUCGGGUCCCUCCCUCCGCAUCUUGACUGAUCCCCCACCCCCACCCCUGGGCAUCUGCUGUUGCCACACCCAGGAGGCAGGCAGUGUGCUGGAUUGCUCGGUGGCCAGGUUCUGGGACACAGGGAGCGCUUUGAUGAUUGUACCCCAGUAAGUGGGAAAAGCCUCUCUGUGAGGAAGGCCGUGAGAGCCUGUGGAGGGAGCCCUGGCCUUGGAGCCGUCAGCCCUGGGAUGGCGUUAAAGCUCCGUCCCUCGCCGCCUGGCUGACCUCGUUCGGCUGUCUUGGGACUUCUAUGAAUACCGAAUGAGAGGCUGUGCCUGUGAAUGUUCAGAAAGCAUCACACAUGUGAGUACUAAUAUGUGGCUUGAUGUCUUUCCUUGAGGCUCUGGGACACAUCCUUAGACCGUGUGUCUGGGUGGAAAGAGCGAGCUUUAUCAGAGUAUUGGGCUGGGAUUUUCUUUCCUUCUCUCCACCCCCUCCAGCUUCAAGCAGCCUCCCUCCCCCCAGCCUCUGCUCCUUAUUUUGACGUUUCUUUUCUCUGCCUGCCAAGAAGAUUGUGUUCAGCUGCGCUGGUUUGAGGCUGUGCUAUCCUGUGCUUCAUUAGGUUAAUGCGAUGGCUCGUCUCCUGGGAAUGGACCAGAGACUGGCCCUAAAACCGCACUCGCCUCCAAAACCCGGUUCCCACUGUUCUCCUUUGGGGCUGGCUUUGCUGCUCAGUUCCGUAUGCCUGCUUUUCCUUUCUUCCACCUGCAAGCUGGCCAGGGCCUCCCUUGGCUUCCCUUGGGUCUUUGUAUUGGUGUAGUUGUUCAGGCUUGCAUCCCCUGCUGGGUAGAAGGCUCUAGGGGAGACCAGCCGUUCCUCAAGGUUGCCCCUGACCUUCUGGAUUCUGGUCACCAGUUCCUCUGUUCAGCCUCAGCAUCUUGAGCCUUUCGGGGCAUUUAUCAUUAAACUGUAUCACCAGAUUUGCUAACUUUGCGACCACAGCCCUCUUGGAUGAGCCUAGCAUUGCCUUGCCUCCCACCAAAUCCCCAUUCCUCUCCUCUCUCAGAGGAUUGCUUCUCAUCUAUCUCUGUAAAUCUCCGACCCCAGCUGUAAAGGUGCAUCACUCCCCGUGCCUGAGCCCGGGCCCGCUUCGCCUCCUGCUAGGCUGGUAAGCCCUGACCCUGGGGGACUGGCUGCCCCUUUCCUGCUGCUCAGGACUUUGCUUCUCCAUUAACCUCUUUCCUGCAGCAUUAGCUUCUCCCCCUACUGAGCCAUCCCCAUCAGUAUACAAGCAUUCUGUAACUCGCAUUCCGCUUUCCCCCAUGCCCAGUUUUUGGUAACACCUUUAUUGAGAUGUAACUCACAUCAGGUUCACCCAUUUCAAGUGUACAAGUGAGCUGGUUUUAGUCUAGUCACAUGGUUGUGCAAGCUUAGGCCACAAACCAUUGUGGAACAUUUCAUCAUCCCAUUCGCAGCCACUCUGCACCUCCUCUAACCCCUGACCCUGGGCAAUCACUAACCAACUUUAUUCUGGACGUGUCCCGUAAAUGGAAUCGCGUCAUAGGUGGGCUUCUGUGUUGGGCUGCUUUCACUUAGCACCAUCUUUUCAAGGUCCGUGCGUGUAGCCUGUAUCAGUGCUGUGUUUGGCUAAGAUUCCAUUGUAUGGAUAUUGGACAGUUUACUCAUCAGUUGAUGGAGCCUUGAGUUCUUUCCAUAAUCAUUUGUGUAUGUGUUUUUAUGUGGAUAUACAUGUUCAUUUCUCUUGAAUUAUAGACCUAAGAUUGGAAUUGCUGAGUCGUAUGGUAACUCUGAGUUCAGCCUUAUGACUGCCAGACUGUUUUCCAAACUGGCUGCACCCUUUCACAUUCUCGCCAGCAAUGUAUGAAAGUUACAGUUUCUCCAUAUCUUCACUAAUACUUGUUAUUAUCUGCCUUUUUUUGGUUAUAGCCGCCCUAGUGGGUGGUAUCUGGUGGGAUUUUUUUAAACUAUUCUACUUAAAUUUUUUUUUUUUUACUUUUAUUUAUUGGCUGUGCUGGGUCUUUGUUGUUGCAUGGACUGUUCUCUAACUGCAAAGAGCGGGGUCUGCUCUCUAGUUGCAGUGCACAGGAGUCUCAUUUCGAGGCUUCUCUUGUUGCAGAAUGUGGGCUCUAGGUUCCCGGGCUUCAGUAGUUGUGGCACACAGGCUCAGUAGUUGCAGUUCCCAGGCUCCAAAGCCCAGCUUCACAGUUCUGGUACCUGGUUUAGCUGCUCCAUGACAUGGGGAAUCUUCCUGGCCCAGGGAUCGAACCCAUGUCUCCUGCGAUGACAGCCGGAACCUUCACUGCUGAGCCGCCAGGGAAGACCCGACUGCGGUUUCGAGACAUGUUUCCCUGAUAGCGAAAGAUGUUGCACCUCUUCCCCUGCGUGUUGGCCGUCUCUCGCCUAGUCAGCCGUUCACCCCUCCAUGCUCUGGGUCAGCCGUUGCGAAGGUCACUGUCAACAGCCUUCUCUUACCUGUGUCAGGACUUCCCUCGACAAUGCCUUCUGCUCCUGUAGUUUUAAAAAUGAACUGUGCCCUGAUGACUCUCGCUGUGUCACUUCAGCUCUGGCCUCAUUCAUCCAUGAGCUUCAGACAUCUGCGUCCUGCUGCCUGUUGCCAUUUCCACACGGAUAUUUAAAGAGCAUCUCAGAUUUAACCUGUUGUAAACACAGCUCUCGGAGAAGGCAAUGGCACCCCACUCCAGUACUCUUGCCUGGAAAAUCCCACGGACAGAGGAGCCUGGUGGGCUGCAGUCCAUGGGGUCUCGAAGAGUCAGACACGACUGAGCGACUUCCCUUUCACUUUUCACUUUCACGCAUCAGAGAAGGAAAUGGCAACCCACUCCAGUGUUCUUGCCUGGAGAAUCCCAGGGACAGCAGAGCCUGGUGAGCUGCUGUCUAUGGGGUUGCAGAGUUGGACAUGACUGAAGCGACUUAGCAGCAGCAGCAAACAGAACUCUUGUUGGUUUUUUCCCUUUUCUCUCAUCCAAAUCCAUUUCUUUCCUGACUUUUCUGUAUGAAUGAAUGGCACCCCCACCACCCUCCAUCUAUCCCAUCAGUUCAAUCCUUCAGAAUACAUCCCACCACUCAGCACCUCCAUUGCCUGGGAUGUUCGAGUAGCUCCUCUCUGGUCCCCUGCUAGUCCUCUGCAGCAACCAGAGUAGUCCCUUAGUGAAAAACGUUUUAACCUACAAAAAAUAAAUUAGCUUUUAUAAUGAAACGCAUCGCACAUUCAGAAUAGCAUGUAUCGUAUACAUUCCUUAAAGAAUAAAAAUUUAAAAUAGUCUGUUCUUCCUACUUGGAUUAAAGAGUAAUACAUUCCCAGUACUUCUAAAGUCCCGAUAGGCCCUUCUUCUUUCUUCUUUGUAGGCCCUGCUUAUCUUACCUGUCUUCUUCCUCUGCAGGGAAACUCCCUGAAUUUUACAGUGUUUCCCUGAUUUUAUCUGUUGUUUUAUCAUCUUUGUCAAAAGGCUUAAACAAUUUACUGCUCAGUGUUGCGUACUUUUGAACUUUUCACGAAUUCACACUGUAAGUAUCCCUGACUUAUUCGUUUUGCUCAGCAGAAUAAUCUUUUGGUCAUAUUCUUCCCUGUUUAUUUCUGAUUCACUCAUGUUUACCAUAUGGAUGGACCACAAUUUAUCCAUCCUAUUCUGAUGGGCGUUUGGGUUGUGGGCAGUUUCCAGUUAUUAGCCAGUGCUGCCUUAAGCAUUCAUGUAUGUCUCUUGGUACAUAUGUUCACGUGUAUCUGGUUGUAGAAAUACCAGAGUUUACUACGUACCCACAAGGAUAACUAAAAUUUAAAAGAUAGAAGAUACUCGGGCCAUGAAACAAACGAUACUGUCGUUCAUUACUGGUGGAAACUUAUGCUUCAGCCACUCUGGAAAACUAUUUGAUCAUUUCUGGUGAAGUUAAACAUACUGGUGUAUGUACCCUAUGACCCUGUAAUUCCACUCCCAGGUAUUUACCCCAGAGAAGUGAGAGUAUGUAUCCACAAAAUGACUUAUACAGAAAGGUCAGGGCAGUUUUACUCAUAGCAACCAAAAAUUGCAAACAACUCACUGUCCAAACAUGGAUAAGAAUAAACUACUGAUACAUACAACAUGGAUGAAUCUCUAAAACAGUGUGUUGAGCAAAAGAAGCCAGCCGGGCAGAAGUGUUUAUAUGAAGUUCAAGAAUCAAGUCAACCUAGUGUGUGACGGCAGGACUCAGCAGAAAGGUGGAGCGGCGGAUGAUGACCAGGAAGGGCACGGGAGAGCUCCCUGGGCGGGGAGGGGGAUGCGUGUGUGUGGAAAUGCUCCAUGUCUUAUUCUGGGCACUUAGGCAGGACUCGGCAGAAAGGGAGAGCGGUGGAUGAUGACCAGGAAGGGCACGGGAGAGCUCCCUGGGCGGGGAGGGGGAUGGGUGUGUGUAGAAACGCUCCAUGUCUUAUUCUGGGCACUUACACACACGCACACGCAGGCAUCAAGCUUCCCAUUGAAAGGCGUCUGCAUCUUAUUGUUUGUGAAUUAAACCUCACUGGAAGAGACAGACUGCCCCAAGUAGGGGCAGGAUUUUAGGGGAAAACGAAACAGUUGUCAGGGUUCGCCUUAAGCUUUAUUUAUUUAUUUCUUGAUGUGGACCAUUUUUUAAGUCUUUAUUGAAUUUAUGACAAUAGUUUGUCUGUUUUUUGUUUCGGUUUUUUUGACCUUGAAGCAUAUGGGAUCUCAGCUCCCCAACCAGGGAUCCGCACACCGCCUGCAAUGGAAGGCAAAGUCGUAGCUACUGGACUCCAGGGAGGCCCAUGAGCUUAAACUUCUAAAUCAGCUUCACAGGACAAGCAGCGGGACUCACCAGUUUUAUAAUUCAUUGAUUCCAAAUAUCCAGUCUUUGGGUGAGAAACUUCAUUUCCACCCGAACCAGAGGAAGACUACAGUUGCUCAGAAUGUCUUCUCACAUGGGACAUCACAAAAUAAAUUAGCCCAGGACAAAUGGGGGAACUUUCUUAUCUCUCAUUUGUGUUCCCAUGCCAUAUUUUCUGUGAGAAAGAUGUUCUUAAAUUUUUCUUCAAAAAAAAAAAUACUAUUCAUGUCUGUGUUUUUUAAGUAAUGCCAGAUUCGCCUUCCAAGCAUUGUACCAAUUCAUUUUCUCACCAGUGGUGACUGAGUGUUCUUGACAGUCUGCAUCCUCUCUCAACUCUUGGUACUGUUGGUUUUUAAAACUUUGCUCCAAGGGCCCGUUUUAAAAUAUAAAUCAGGUCAUGACACAUCCCUCCCUUAAAGCUGCCCAUUAGAUUAAUAAUAAAUCCUAAUCCUUUCAAAGCCCAUUGUAACUGGGCCCCUCGUACUUUCCUCUCCAACACUCUCCCCCAUUUCUUCUUGCUGUGUUCGUGUAUUUAAUAUUUUUUUAUUUAUUUGGCUGUGCUGGGUCUUGGACUUCCCUGGUGGCUCAGACGGUAAAGAAUCCACCUGCAAUGCGGGAGACCUAGAUUCGAUCCCUGGGUUGGAAAGAUCCCCUGGAGGACGGCAUGGCAAGCCACUCCAGUAUUCUUGCCUGGAGAAUCCCAUGGAGAUGGGCCUGGCGGGCUGCAGUCCAUGGGGUGGCAAAGAGUCGGACACGCCUGAGCGCCAGGUCUGAGUUGUGGCGUGGCACACAGGAUCUUCAGGCUUCUUGCUGCACGUGGGAUCUUAGUUCUCUGAGCAGUGAUUGAAGCUGGGCCUCCUGUGCUGGGCGCAUGGAGUUGGCCACCAGGCCAGCAGGGAAGCCCCUCUCUCCGUGCUCCUAAUGGCCGGGCUGCUUCUCCCUUUUGUCCUCUGCCCCCCCUCACGGCACCUGCAAUUCCCAUCCUGGAGUUUGUCACCCCUGUGCCUUUGUCUUUGGACUGGAAGCUCCAUGAGGACAGGACGCGUACGGACUGUCCCACACUGGUCCCCGAGCCCUCCCUGGCAAGCCAGCACCAUCCAGGCAGCCCUGGAAGACUGGCCUUCCUUCUGGGGGCCCCAGAGGCAGGGGAUGGUGCCCAAGUGUGUGCCCUUCCCCUCACUUUUUGACACUGGGGUUGGCAUGGGCUUAACGUGAAAGACCAGAGCAGCUGUGAAAGGGGAGAAAUCAGAAUUAGGCAGUGGCAACCGGAGGUCACAGGGGGGCAUAAAAGGGCUUAACCAGGCAACUUCUGGACUUGGAGUGCAUGUCGGUGAACUCCAAGUUUCUUCCUGCUUUAGCAGCAGUCCUGCCCUGUGCCCCCAGUUGCCCUCAGCACAUGCUCCCACACCCAGCCCAGCCUUGGGAUUCGCAGAGCAAGGGCUCUUGCUGGUGACUCGGCUUCUCUGCUCUUCCUAAACACAGGGACCAAACCGGGGCCUCUCCUCUCCCUGACAAGCAGCCGGUUACCUCAGAUGCCUGCUUCGUUAGGACUCCAGGGACUCACUGUGGCCCCAGCCUGUUUCUUCGGAGCCUCCUGUGCAGGCUUUGGCUGGAGGCUACCUGCAGCGGCCGCAGUGGGCUGCCCUCCGGAAACCAGGUCUCCCAGCCUGACCCCUCACCCCACCCCUUGCUCAGUCUGGAAAGUCACCACCUCCCAGGCUGGUUGCCUCGUGGCCGGCUCUCACUCACAGGGUGCUGGGAGCGGGACCCUGCAAACCCAAGUUCUUUUCCUUAGAUGUUGGCUGGGAGCCCCACUAAGGCCUGUGGGCGAAGCUUCACCCUGGAGCCUGGGAAGCCAGCUUCCGUGUCUCCUUGUCUCUUACCCCUGAGCCUCUGGGCCGUUGAAGGAACUCGUGGGCUCCUUUCUAUACCCUGGCCAGUCUCAGACUUUGGAACCAUGUAGAACUGAACUUAAAUCUCAGUUCCGCUCAGGAGGCUAUGACCUUAGGCAAGUUCCUUCACGUGUGCGAGCAUUGUUUUCCAUCUAGAACAGUGCCUCUUCGUUGGAACAUGCUAGUUCCGCUCCCUGAUGGCUUUGUGGUUUGGCGUUGCCCCAGAAAUUUGAGCUGCCAUGAAUGGAGGGGGUGGCAGAGGUUCUUGAGUGUGCAGCCCGAGAGGCCUUCUGUGCAGCAAAGGACCUGGGAGGGCUGUCUGGGGUGGAGCUCCCAGUGAGCGCUGUGCCCGGGGCCAGGUCAGAACCAGGGCGGGCAGGACUUGGAGAGGAGCUGGUGGAGACAGUCCGGCCACGGGGAUUAAGUGCUCCCCAUGGCAUGGAGUCAGGCCUGGGGCUCCACUCCCAGCCUCAUCCUCACUCUCGCGCUGGCUCCUGAGCACAUGGCGUGGAUUCAGGCACCUUUCCUUCGGGCAGAUCACACACCACCCUGCAGCCUUUUCUCACGGCGCUCGCCAGGGGCCUCAGGCUGUGAGUACCCUCAGGGGCCCUGGCGUUUAUUCCAUGACCUGCAGAUGAAGGCAGCUGUCCAGAUGGCUGAGCAGUGACCCCAGCGUCCUGUCACGGUCAGCUUCUCCUUCUGACACCAGAGCUGGAGAGAGUGUUAACAAUUCACCCGGCUAACUCAGGGCCGCCUCAUCUGUAGCCCACACUGGGGAGAGAGGAGGGCCAAUCCCAGGGCCCAGGCCGGCUGGACCCCACUGGGGAGGGUGCUGUAUCUCUUCUCAGGGUUCCAGAGCACCCAGGCCAGGGGGGUCAUAUCCGCAGUCCCCUGUGCUCUUUCCUCUGGGCCAUAUUCUCUUAAGUUUCACCUGAAAUUAACCUCCUAUAGCUAGAAUCAGUUCAGUUCAGUCACUCAGUCAUGUCCGACUCUUUGCAACCCCAUGAAUUGCAGCACGCCAGGCCUCCCUGUCUAUCACCAACUCCAGGAGUUCACCCAAACUCAUGUCCAUUGAGUCGGUGAUGCCAUCCAGCCAUUUCAUCCUCUGUUGUCCCCUUCUCCUCCUGCCCCCAAUCCCUCCCAGCAUCAGAGUCUUUUCCAAUGAGUCAACUCUUUGCAUGAGGUGGCCAAAAUAUUGGAGUUUCAGCUUUAGCAUCAGUCCUUCCAGUGAACACCCAGGACUGAUCUCCUUUAGAAUGGACUGGUUAUGUAUACUAUCAUGUGAAUUGAAUCGCCAGUCUAUGUCUGACGCAGGAUGCAGCAUGCUUGGGGCUGGUGCAUGGGGAUGACCCAGAAAGAUGUUAUGGGGAGGGAGGUGGGAGGGGG